rnacentral:lncRNA from 1 species
GCUUUAAUGUUGUGCUCCAUCUACAAUGCUGCAAAGCAUACCAAAUGAGCAAGAACUUACUUUCAUCAGCAUAAAUUAAGAGAACGAUUAUCUAACGUCACUAGAUGCCUUUUAGCAUAGCUUUUUCUUGCAUCAAAAUCGCCAUUUAAUACUGCAAGCGAAAACCUCUCCUAAAGUUCAACGCGGCCGUAGCCAGAGAACGUCAUAAGCGCAACACACAACCACGAGAGUAAAAGGUUUGAACUGCAAGCUGGCAACCAUUCCUCAGAGAGGCCAAGGACUGAAAAAUAAAUUCAGUUGCCUAACUGAUGGUGAGAGCGCUUAUCCUUCCUCCUCCAUCACGAUGCGGGCGUCCCCUGAAUUGUCCCGGAAGCACAUGAGCCUCAGCAGUCCAGCAGCUGGUGGAUCCACUUGAAAGGCUGUUUGGGU